GUCAUUUCACAGUUGGUUCCAUUUCUAUUAACAGCCUCCCUUUCUUGUUGCUUGGUCUUGUUUAUCCAGGUUUUCUUGUGCUAUGACUGUUACCUACCUCACUGACCUAUUCUUUUUAGCUUUUGGGCAGAAAGGCUUCUAUUUUUUUGCCUUCAAUAUUAGACCGUUUUCUGGAAGUGAGAAAAGAAAGCAGAGACCUGUAUUUUCAGGGGAAAGAAGGAAGUCAAGCAGUGUUCCUUUUGAAUGGAUGUGGGAUAAAGAAACGUAUGGGGGUCAGCCAGCCACCACCUCUGCUUGAUCCUGAGAAGAGUGGUUUUGUUUUCAUGGGCCAACAAGUCAUCUAGAUCCGCGAUGGAACGUGUGUGAUAUGGUAAUAGUUACAGUACUGUAACACUGUAAUAGUUGCCUGUAGUGCUGCUAAGUCUAGUCUAAAGAAAUAGCCUUGGCUGCUCCUCUAAGACAGUCGUUUCCAGGUACAUAUUCAGGUUGUUUACUUGACUCCCUCCAGUGAAAGGUAUUUGGCCCAAGAAUAGGCCUCCUUGAGGAUCGUGGCCUCUUGAUCAAUAAAAUGAGGAAGAGGAUGAGAUGGAGUGGCCGG
rnacentral:lncRNA from 1 species